AUACGUAGGGGGCGAGCGUUGUCCGGAAUGAUUGGGCGUAAAGGGCGCGUAGGCGGCCCGGUAAGUCUGGAGUGAAAGUCCUGUUUUUAAGAUGGGAAUUGCUUUGGAUACUGCCGGGCUUGAGUGCAGGAGAGGUAAGUGGAAUUCCCAGUGUAGCGGUGAAAUGCGUAGAGAUUGGGAGGAACACCAGUGGCGAAGGCGACUUACUGGACUGUAACUGACGCUGAGGCGCGAAAGUGUGGGGAGCAAACAGGAUUAGAUACCCUGGUAGUCCACACUGUAAACGAUGAAUGCUAGGUGUAGGGGGUAUCGACCCCUUCUGUGCCGCAGUCAACACAAUAAGCAUUCCGCCUGGGGAGUACGGCCGCAAGGUUGAAACUCAAAUGAAUUGGCGGGG
rnacentral:rRNA from 1 species